CCGGCUUCUCCUCAUCUGCAGGGAAGUUGUUGCUACGAAAACGUCAGAAGCGUACCGAUUUAUGAGAACCAGCUGGCUAGAAUCCUGCGUUCUGGAGCCAUCGGGGUUGAGUUCUCUCACCGCCAAGUGCCCUCUUUCCUUUAUUGACUCUGGUAGCUCAGACGGUAAAGAAUCCACCUGCAAUGUCAGAGACCUGGGUUGGGAAGAUCCUCUGGAGAAGGGAAUGGCUACUCACUCCAGUAUUCUUGCCUGGAGAAUCUCAGGGACAGAGGAGCCUGGCAGGCUACAGUCCAUGACGUCACAAGGAGUUCAUCAUGACUGAACAACUUUCACUCUCAUUUUCAUUGGCUAUGAUACCCGUGGAUGUGGUUUUCUCUGCAUUUGCCUAGCUUGGUGUGUUUCGAGCAUCUGGAAUGUUGAAGUCUUUAGUUUUUCAAAUAUUUUUCUCCACCUCUCUUCUCUCUCUCCUCUCUUAAUCUGAUCUCAAUUUCAUGUAUGUUUCCCAGUUUCAUAAUAUACCAAGGGGAAUUGAUGCUGUUAAUUUUUUAAAUUUUUUUUAAAUUGAAGGCUAAUUCUUUACAAUACAGCAUUGUUAAUAUUUUA